rnacentral:rRNA from 1 species
CCUACGGGUGGCAGCAGUGGGGACUAUUGCACAAUGGGGGAAACCCUGAUGCAGCAACGCCGCGUGGGUGAAGGAGCGUUUCGGCGCGUAAAGCCCUGUCAGCGGGGAAGAAGAAAGACGGUACCCGACAAAGAACACCCGGCUAACUACGUGCCAGCCGCCCCGGUAGUACGGAGGUGGAGAGAGUGAUCCGGAAUUACUGGGGGUAAAGGGAGCGUAGACGGCGAGGUAAGCCUGAAGUGGAAGCCAGCGGCCCAACCGCGGAACUGCUUUUGGAACUGGUUUGCUGGAGUAUUGGAGGGGUACGCGGAAUUCCUGGUGUAGCGGUGAAAUGCGUAGAUAUCAGGAGGAACACCGGUGGCGAAGGCGGCUUACUGGACCAUAACUGACGUUGAGGCUCGAAAGCGUGGGGAGCGAACAGGAUUAGAUACCCCAGUAGUC